GGGUCGCGACCAGGAAAGAAGAAAAGGGGAGAAACCCUACUUCAUAAAAGAACUCCAAAAUCCAGCAAAUUAGUAGUGAUUCAUGGCAAAAUUCGAAUGCAUGUGCCUAAAUACUCAAUAAUCCAAGAUCGAAAGAAGAAGGAGCUAGUUCCGGUUCACAAACAAAGUCACAAGAUCGAGGUAAAGCACCCGUAUGAUUGUCUUUGCGCCGCUCGGAUACGAACACACCUUGAUCACCCAUGAUGCGCUUCCGCAAUCUUGUAGUAACCUUGUUAGUUUAAGGCUUUUGUCAAAGUUAGUAGUGUUGAAGUUUCGUGUUUUUAGUAGAUGUUGUGAAUACUAAGUAACUUAAACUUGUUGUUUGAAACGGUAGUCUAAAUGUAUGGUCUUUCGUAUGGUUUCUUAAAGGUGUCGUUAUUAGCGUAUUUUGAUAUAGUAAAAACAGGGAAGUUAUUCAAAUUGCGAACGGAUGACGGACGCAAGUAAUGUAGAUGAUGCCGAAAUAGCCCGUCAAGAGGCAAUCAGUAAUAAAAUGAUGGAAGCGGCAGAAAAAGUAAUGAAUGCAAACCUUCCCAAGCUAGCUCAAGAAGUUGAGAGCCGAGUUUUAGGGAUUGUUGAUGAGAUGAUGGCUAGCAAGAUUGAGGAGUUAAAGGAAAUGAUUGAAGGAUCCAGAACUAAAAGUAAGGAACGAAGGUGUACAUAUAAGGAUUUUAUGGCGUGUAAUCCCUUUUCAUAUAAAGGGGAGGUGGAUCCGAUAAAGUGCCAAAGAUGGAUAGCAAACGUUGAAGCUGUAUUUGUGCGUAGUCGAUGUGAGAAAGAAGAUCAAGUAAUGUUUGCUACGGGUCAACUCCAGCAACAAGCCAAGGAUUGGUGGGAUACUAAAUGUAAAGAGAUAGGGGAAGAAAGACUCCAAACCUUAACAUGGCAAGAGUUCAAAGAGUUGUUCUUAAAACAUCAUUGCCCGCAAUCGGCAAUUGAUAGAAUACAAGAUGAGUUCUUGCAUCUUCGCCAACAGAAUGAGUCUAUUGAUGAGAUUAC
rnacentral:lncRNA from 1 species